GCUCAGGAUGAACGCUGGCGGCGUGCCUAACACAUGCAAGUCGAACGAAGCAAUUAAAGGAAGUUUUCGGACGGAAUUUGAUUGACUGAGUGGCGGACGGGUGAGUAACGCGUGGAUAACCUGCCUCACACUGGGGGAUAACAGUUAGAAAUGACUGCUAAUACCGCAUAAGCGCACAGUACCGCAUGGUACGGUGUGAAAAACUCCGGUGGUGUGAGAUGGAUCCGCGUCUGAUUAGCCAGUUGGCGGGGUAACGGCCCACCAAAGCGACGAUCAGUAGCCGACCUGAGAGGGUGACCGGCCACAUUGGGACUGAGACACGGCCCAAACUCCUACGGGAGGCAGCAGUA
rnacentral:rRNA from 1 species